GAUGAACGCUGGCGGCGUGCCUAAUACAUGCAAGUCGAGCGAACAGACGAGGAGCUUGCUCCUCUGACGUUAGCGGCGGACGGGUGAGUAACACGUGGAUAACCUACCUAUAAGACUGGGAUAACUUCGGGAAACCGGAGCUAAUACCGGAUAAUAUAUUGAACCGCAUGGUUCAAUAGUGAAAGACGGUUUUGCUGUCACUUAUAGAUGGAUCCGCGCCGCAUUAGCUAGUUGGUAAGGUAACGGCUUACCAAGGCAACGAUGCGUAACCGACCUGAGAGGGUGAUCGACCACACUGGAACUGAGACACGGUCCAGACUCCUACGGGGAGCAGCAGUAGGGAAUCUUCCGCAAUGGGCGAAAGCCUGACGGAGCAACGCCGCGUGAGUGAUGAAGGUCUUCGGAUCGUAAAACUCUGUUAUUAGGGAAGAACAAAUGUGUAAGUAACUAUGCACGUCUUGACGGUACCUAAUCAGAAAGCCACGGCUAACUACGUG
rnacentral:rRNA from 1 species